rnacentral:rRNA from 1 species
CCUACGGGAGGCAGCAGUGAGGAAUAUUGGGCAAUGGACGAAAGUCUGACCCAGCCAAGUAGCGUGAAGGAUGACUGCCCUAGGGUUUGUAAACUUCUUUUAUAGGGGAGUAACACGUUCCGCGUGUGGGGUUUUGUAUGUACCAUAUGUAUAAGGAUCGGCUAACUCCGUGCCAGCAGCCGCGGUAAUACGUAGGAUCCGAGCGUUAUCCGGAUUUAUUGGGUGUAAAGGGAGCGUAGGUGGAUUGUUAAGUCAGAUGUGAAAGUGUGCGGCUCAACCGUAAAAUUGCAGUUGAAACUGGCAGUCUUGAGUACAGGAGAGGCAGACGGAAUUCGUGGUGUAGCGGUGAAAUGCUUAGAUAUUACGAAGAACUCCGAUUGCGAAGGCAGUUCACUGGACUGCAACUGACACUGAGGCUCGAAAGUGUGGGUAUCAAACAGGAUUAGAUACCCCAGUAGUC